AAGUCUAGUUUUCUCUCAGAAUACUUCAAUGACAAUAUGCUGAAAGGUUAUUAUGGAAUUAUUUGCCCAAUGAUGCCAAAAACGUUCUGCCUACCCUCGCUUUAAAUUCACUUUGACAUGUAAAAUUGGUGGAGUGACCCUCAGAACACAGAUGGAAAGAGCAACAGAAAAGUCAAGAAUUAGGUAAUUUACAGUUGGUUCAAUUUAUGUGUUCCCUUACGCCUACAUCUUACUUUUCACAUUUUAUUUUUUAAACACCAAAUUUACAAUUAUAUUGCUUCUGGUUUGUCAAAAAUACUUUGUGUGUUCAAAACUUUUGAAUGUUUAAGAGCAGCUGAGCCCAGUGUCCAGUCAUAGCUAACAUUAAGUAAUCUUUUUGGUUAGGAUGACUGGAAACUAUUGACCUGGAACUUAUGUUAUAAGUAUCUGUAGAAAACUAUGGAUGCUACUUUAAUUUCAAGUUUUUGUAUGUCUUUUCCCAAAUAAAACUUACUUAAAAAGUGAUCUUUGUGUCCACAGAGUGUUUUCAUCCUCGUCGUCAAAGCCUGGGCAGGUUCUAGCCCUGGGCAGGUUCUACCCUACUGUAUUAGUGGACAAAAACACUCGACAAGACAACUCAGUGAAAAUAUUUGAUCAACAUGGACACAUUGGACUGAACUCAACCUACCGGGGCGCUGUGUGGGGAUGGACUGGGAUAAAGAUGGAGACAUUUUGGCAGUGAUUGCUGAAAAAUCCAGCUUCAUCUACCUCUGGGAUGCCAGCGUCAAUAAAUCAUCCCAGAUAGACAGCAGCAUGAG